rnacentral:rRNA from 1 species
UACGGAAGGCAGCAGUGGGGAAUAUUGCACAAUGGGCGAAAGCCUGAUGCAGCUAUGCCGCGUGUAUGAAGAAGGCCUUAGGGUUGUAAAGUACUUUCAUCGGGGAGGAAAAAACAAAACUAAUAAUUUUAUUUCUUGACGUUACCCGAAAAAGAAGCACCGGCUAACUCCGUGCCAGCAGCCGCGGUAAUACGGAGGGUGCUAGCGUUAAUCAGAAUUACUGGGCGUAAAGAGCACGUAGGUGGUUUUUUUAAAGUCAGAUGUGAAAUCCCUGGGCUUUAACCUAGGAACUGCAUUUUGAAACUGAAAUACUAGAGUAUCGUAGAGGGAGGUAGAAUUCUAGGUGUAGCGGUGAAAUGCGUAGAUAUCUGGGAGGAAUCCUGUGGCGAAAGCGGCCUCCUAAACGAAUACUGACACUGAGGUGCGAAAGCGUGGGGAGCAAACGAGGAUUAGAUA